AAGGGACGAGAGAAGUUAAUGAUAUUAACUGAUCAUGAGAAGUUAGUGUCGGAAAUGGCUAAGAUGGAGUUGGAAAUUAAAUAUCCGACAGAAUUCGAUGAAAAAUUAUUCCAGAUGGGAAACGGUUCAAUGUUGGUAGAUAAGGUGAAAAAUGCAUAACUUUAGGAUGAAGACUGCGAAAAGAUAAAACAGAGAGUCUCUAAAGGUGAGGAAAAC
rnacentral:lncRNA from 1 species